AUUUUUAUUUCCUACGCAAACACUUCUCGUGCCCUGAAAAGUACCCCUCAUUUCCUGAAGUGAGUUCAGACCUCCUGCACAGUGUGUAAGAAACAAGGGAUAAACAAGGGGAUAAAUAUUAUGUCCCACAUCUGAAAACCAACUUCACAAAAAAUAUGCACUAAAUGAUACAUGAUAAUGGGGAAGGAGAUGCCAGAGGCCUUAAUGAAUGGUGGUAAGCAAGGCUGGAAAAAUAAAUUAUAUAAUAAUCUCCUAUUAUAUUCCCUUUGACAUAAAUUAAUCUUGACCCGGAACAAUAGUGCUCCUUUCCAAGGGAAAAUAACCCAAUGCAGUUUAUAAUCAUGAGUCAGGAGUCCAAUGCAAAGUGGUUUGUGUUUGCUCUUUGUUGUUAAGAUUUUGCUUCAUCUGGUGAAUUUUGUGGAAAAGACGGGAACAGGGAGAGCAACUUCCAGCCAGAACUGCCAGUUCCUGCCUCUGGGUGGCUGGGAAGAAGCUGCUGAACUUCAACCCAAGAUUCUCUUCAAAUUACUCCAUGUCUUUCCCAAAAUGUGGUGCCCAACAUGGAACAAAGCAACCCAGCCAAGACCAGAGGAGUGUGGAAGGAUUAUUUCCCAUGUCUUACUAUUUCCCCAAUGUCUGCCAGUGCUCAAAUCCAGGAUUGAAGAAGAUGUUUUCUACUGCUGUUGUAGACGGAUGCUGCUGGUGAAUCAGCACAUGAAAUAGGCUAAUUAAUGAUCUCUGGAAUUACCAAAUCCCUCCAGGUUUCAGUUUUACCUGAAGGGAUGGUGUGCCAGCAAAAGAGAAAUUCGAGAUACAUUAAAAUAAUAAAGCAAUGUUACUACAUGGAGUAAAUUUCAGGAAAA